rnacentral:misc_RNA from 1 species
GAUGAAGAACGCAGCGAAAUGCGAUAAGUAAUGUGAAUUGCAGAACUCAGUGAAUCAUCGAAUCUUUGAACGCACAUUGCGCCCCCUGGCCUUCCGGGGGGCAUGCCUGUCCGAGCGUCAUUGCUGCCCUCAAGCACGGCUUGUGUGUUGGGCCCCGUCCUCCGAUUCCGGGGGACGGGCCCGAAAGGCAGCGGCGGCACCGCGUCCGGUCCUCGAGCGUAUGGGGCUUUGUCACCCGCUCUGUAGGCCCGGCCGGCGCUUGCCGAUCAACCCAAAUUUUUAUCCAGGUUGACCUCGGAUCAGGUAGGGAUACCCGCUGAACUUAAGCAUAUCAAUAAGCGGAGGA